GUGAGGAAUAUUGGUCAAUGGACGAGAGUCUGAACCAGCCAAGUCGCGUGAAGGAAGACGGUUCUAUGAAUUGUAAACUUCUUUUGUGCAGGAAUAAAGUGGGUUACGUGUAACCUUUUGUAUGUACUGUACGAAUAAGGAUCGGCUAACUCCGUGCCAGCAGCCGCGGUAAUACGGAGGAUCCGAGCGUUAUCCGGAUUUAUUGGGUUUAAAGGGUGCGUAGGUGGAUUGAUAAGUCAGCGGUGAAAGUUUGCAGCUUAACUGUAAAAUUGCCGUUGAAACUGUCGGUCUUGAGUGCAAAUGUGGUAGGCGGAAUGUGUUGUGUAGCGGUGAAAUGCUUAGAUAUAACACAGAACUCCGAUUGCGAAGGCAGCUUACUGGGAUGCAACUGACACUGAUGCACGAAAGCGUGGGUAUCAAACAGGAUUAGAUACCCGAGUAGUCC
rnacentral:rRNA from 1 species